UGUAAAUUUUUUACAGAAUUUCUCUAAGGACAUAAUAAAUGGAAUACAAAGAACACAAAUCCAAUUCCUCAUUCCCUGCAAAGUUAAUGGCAACUCAACCUGGAGACCGCACACAUGAUUUGUUCAUAAUUCCUUUUCCUUUUGAAUGAGUGAGCUGAUUUAGGAAUCUGAGGACUGGGGAUGAAUCCCAUCUUUGAUACUUCCUUCUUGUGUGACCUCAGGAGGAGAAAAAGUCUGAGACCACCAAGGAAGAAAGGGGCAGCAAGAGGACAAAGGAAUAAUGAAUUUAAAGGAUGCCUUCAUACAGUGCUACCUAUCAGAAUCUUUCUCCCUUCUCUAUCUCACCUGGAAGAAUGAUAAUCCAAACAACAAUCUAAUGGAAGAAUGGACUGGAUAGACUUCUAGAUGUUUGCUGGGGAGGUGAAACAAUUUACUGUUCUAUUGCUAUAAAAAUAAACAAACAAAACAACCACA
rnacentral:lncRNA from 1 species